rnacentral:rRNA from 1 species
UACGGAAGGGGGCUAGCGUUGCUCGGAAUUACUGGGCGUAAAGCGCACGUAGGCGGUUCUUUUAAGUCGGGGGUGAAAUCCUGGAGCUCAACUCCAGAACUGCCUUCGAUACUGGAAGACGUUGAGUCCGGGAGAGGUGAGUGGGAACUGCGAGUGGUAGAGGUGAAAUUCGUAGAUAUUCGCAAGAACACCAGUGGCGAAGGCGACACACUGGCUCACUACUGACGCUGAGGCGCGAAAGCGUGGGGAGCAAACAGG